ACAAAUGUGUAUACAUAAAAGCGUCUGCUAAAUGACUAAAUGUAAAUGAUCUCUGCAUGUUGAGGUUAUCAAUGAACUGAAGGGAGAGGUGUAUUUGAUUAGCCAAUCAGCAAUGUCGCUUCUGGAGCAGUAAAGAGAGAGGUGUAUUUGAUUAGCCAAUCGCAAUGCCGCUUCAGGAGCACUGAAGGGAGAGGUGUAUUUGAUUGGCCUUCACCAGGAUUGAGGGCGUGCCUUUAAGUGACAUAGUGCCCCAUUAAAUAUCAGAUUAUUUUAACAACAUCACAAGUCACAUGUUGCUGGGAGACAACACAAGUUUUGCUCCACUUGUUUGGUAAUGGCAGAGCUCAGGGCUCAGGGUUAGUCUUUGCUGUUUGGUAUUGAAGGAAAGCAGACAGGUCUGAGAUCUGUUUGGCAUUGAAGGAAAGCACACAGGUCUGAGAUCUGUUUGGCAUUGAAGGAAAGCAGACAGGUCUGAGAUCUGUUUGGCAUUGAAGGAAAGCACACGGGCUCUAAGCUGUUGUUAUCAGCUGUCUUGACGUCAUUCACGACACGAGCGAUCCUUCUGCCCAUCGGUGCUCCGGUGACAGGCUCGGUUGGACAGCGUUCAGAGGGGUAAUGUGAUUUCAGGGGCGUCUGGUCAGUCAGGGGGACACGGGGAAACACAGUGUGACAUGGACAGAAAAGGCGGGAGAAGAAUCAGUUGUGACAGAAAGAGUUCAAGAUGAACGAAUACAGAAGCAGAGAUGGGGUUAGGCAGAACAGAAGAAGAAGAAGAAGAAGAAGGAGAAGGAG